rnacentral:lncRNA from 1 species
AUGAAUGGCUGCCUAACAAGCAUGAGAAGUGUUAAUGAAGCAGGCAUUAUUCUUUCAAUGAGCAGGUGGAAGUGUUCUCUUUGUGGGCAUCUCCAGUCAGGGGUACUGUAUGCUUUCUCUUUUCUUGCUGUUACUAAAGGGGUUUUUUGGUGGCAAGAAGGAGAUGAUAGCAACAGCUUAUUGUUGAAUGUUGCCUUUACAGUUGCAUAUACUCUGUUCAGAUGGGAAAAAACUUUGGAACAAAGAAGCAAAAUGAAUGAUUUAUUGCUUUAAUACCUACCUGCAAAAUAUUUUUUCCUCUUUGAUUUGUCUCAACACAUGCUUAUUCAAUAAUGUAAAAAGUGCUUUUCUGCAAGGUAUAAGUUCUUUCUAGUGUCUAACCAGCAGAGAGAGUGAAAAAGACAACAGAGGUUUUUGUUCUUGUAGGCCAUUUUUGCAGACAUUGUUUAGCUGUUUUCACUUGAAUUUUUUGCUGUUUUUCUCUGUAUUCAUGAGUUGUGCCUUUUCUUUGCUGCGAAGAUUUUUACUUUCCCUAAACACACAGACUUUCCAGCUUCUUUACUGUUUCCUGUAGCAAACUGCAUGGUCUUUAUAGUAGUUAAUGCACCCUUCCUUACCAAUUGUGGAUGCUUUUUGUAGUCAUGUGAUAAUUCUUUGAUGUAUAAAUGUGUACACUCAUGUGCCUUCUUCUUGCCUUGCUUCCCUUGUUUAACACCAAUCCAUAUGACUUGAGUGCUUCAGUGAUUACUUUAAAUUUUUUGCUUUUACUUAGAUGGUUGGCAAUUACAAGUCUAUUUUGACUCAUGAUUUUGCUCAUUGGUCAGUCACUUUAAUUUUUAUUAAUUUUGUAUAUCACAGAAUUGCAUGUCCUAAUAUGAAGUUGUUUUUUUUUCAUAUUACUCUUCUUCCACUCUUAGAUUUGUCAAUCUUUUCAGUCCAUGCCCUCUUUCCUUCGCCUGUUCUGUAUUUGUUUCUAGAAAGUGUUGUGGGAUAACUUACUUUCCACAAGUUCUCACUGAUCUGCCAUUCUUCAAAGUUUCCUUUUUUUUUUAAUCCCCUUUUCCUCUUCCUGCAUAUGGAAUACAUUGUCUAUAUUUAACACUACAGCACCAGCUAUUCUUCAGUUCAUCUUCUACUUUAUUAGUACCCUUAGCUGUCAUGUCAGCUUGUUACUUUAGUCUUGCAGCAAAAUUCCCUAUAACUUUAAGGUGAAGGGUUUACGUGUUGCAGUCACCCAUCCCUGCUGCAGUGUGCGUGUAGUUAUAUUUUCCUG